rnacentral:rRNA from 1 species
UGGGGAAUUUUGCGCAAUGGGCGAAAGCCUGACGCAGCAACGCCGCGUGAGUGAUGAAGGCCUUCGGGUCGUAAAAUCCUUUCGUGGGGGACGAUAAUGACGGUACCCCAAGAAGAAGCUCCGGCUAACUUCGUGCCAGCAGCCGCGGUAAUACGAAGGGGGCUAGCGUUGUUCGGAAUCAUUGGGCGUAAAGCGGGUGUAGGUGGCUUGGUAAGUCAGGUGUGAAAGCCUGGGGCUUAACCCCAGAAGUGCAUUUGAAACUGCUGAGCUUGAGUGCCAGAGAGGUUAUUAGAAUACCUGGUGUAGUGGUGAAAUACGUAGAUAUCAGGUGGAACACCGGAGGCGAAGGCGGAUAACUGGCUGGACACUGACACUGAGACCCGAAAGUGCGGGGAUCAAACAGGAUUAGAUACCCAUGUAGUCCCUGAGCGGGCUGGCAAGGCGCAU